UGCCCAGCAACUCCUAUCCCUACUUCCCCGCGGUACUGGUUGGAGUACGAAUAACCUUAGGGAUGUUUGGGUCGUAUGCUGACAAGGAAGG
rnacentral:ribozyme from 1 species